rnacentral:rRNA from 1 species
UUCGCAAUGCCCGAAAGGGUGACGAAGCGACGCCGCGUGUGGGAAGAAGGCCUUCGGGUUGUAAACCACUGUUGGGAGUUAGGAAGUGUGGAGGUGUUAAUAGCGCUUUCACUUGACUAAAGCUCCAGAGGAAGCCACGGCUAACUCUGUGCCAGCAGCCGCGGUAAUACAGAGGCGGCAAGCGUUGUUCGGAAUUAUUGGGCGUAAAGAGCACGUAGGCGGCUCUGCAAGUCAGCUGUGAAAGCCUUCUGCUUAACGGAAGAACGGCAGUUGAAACUACAGGGCUUGAGUGCGGGAGGGGAGAGUGGAACUUCUGGUGGAGCGGUGAAAUGCGUAGAUAUCAGAAGGAACGCCGGCGGCGAAAGCGGCUCUCUGGUCCGUAACUGACGCUGAGUGUGCGAAAGCUAGGGGAGCAAACGGGAUUAGACACCCCGGUAGUCCUAGCCGUAAACGAUGGGCACUAAGUAGAGGGGUUUU